CCUACGGGUGGCAGCAGUGGGGAAUAUUGCACAAUGGGGGAAACCCUGAUGCAGCGACGCCGCGUGAGUGAAGAAGUAUUUCGGUAUUUAAAGCUCUAUCAGCAGGGAAGAAAAUGACAGUACCUGACCAAGAAGCCCCGGCUAACUACGUGCCAGCAGCCGCGGUAAUACUUAGGGGGCAAGCGUUAUGCGGAUUUAAUGGGUGGAAAGGGAGCGUAGACGGUUAUGUAAGUCUGGAGUGAAAGCCCGGGGCCGAACCCCGGGACUGCUGUGGAAACUGUGUAACUGGAGUACAGGAGGGGCAGGCGGAAUGCGUGGUGUAGCGGUGAAAUGCGUAGAUAUCAGGAGGAACUCCGGCGGCGAAGGCGGCAUGCUGGACUGAAACUGACGUUGAGGCUCGAAAGCGUGGGGAGCAAACAGGAUUAGAUACCCGGGUAGUC
rnacentral:rRNA from 1 species